rnacentral:rRNA from 1 species
UACGUAGGGUGCAAGCGUUGUCCGGAAUUAUUGGGCGUAAAGAGCUCGUAGGCGGUCUGUCGCGUCGAAUGUGAAAACCCGGGGCUCAACCCCGGGCCUGCAUUCGAUACGGGCAGACUAGAGUUCGGUAGGGGAGUCUGGAAUUCCUGGUGUAGCGGUGAAAUGCGCAGAUAUCAGGAGGAACACCUAUGGCGAAGGCAGCUCGCUGGGACGGUACUGACGCUGAGGCGCGAAAGCGUGGGGAGCAAACAGG